CCUGGCAACUGCAGCAUCCUACCGUGCUUCUGGCUCCGGCACCAAAGGCUGCGCUCCGGCAGAGCCCUGGCAAGUGAUGUUUAUUCAUUCGCCCGGGCAUCGACCGACCAGUUUUCGCUCCGGCUGCCCGGGCGCCACAAGGACAGCAGCAGGUCUCCUCGCCACGUCUGCCAGCGCAAGUGCCACCAUGACGCCAUGUUGGGCUGCCCUCUGGGAUCAGCAGGAGCAGCAGGUGGCAACUCCAGCAUCCUGCCGUGCUUCUGGCUCCGGCACGAAAGUCCCUGCCCCUGCCGAGUGAUGGCAAGUUCCAUUCGGCGAAGCUGCAGAAGCUGCUCGACGCCUGAGAAUCGCACGCAGCAGCACAACUGGCGUCAUUGAGGAGGUAAUGUAUGUGUCCCGACCCUGCAGCCCCGCUUCCCUGCUCGACGCUGGAGGACCGCACGCAGCCGCACGGCCACGCGCACCGCGUGCUUCGUCGGGGAACUGCAGCGGCCGAGUCUCGACGACGCGGCCUCCCACAAU
rnacentral:misc_RNA from 1 species